CUGCGCCCAGCCCGCGCUUCCGCUUUAAUGGAACACUCUGGCGGGUGGUGGCGAAAGGGUUCUUUCUAGAGGAGAAGUUUGCUCCCUGGACUGAUUAAGGGCGGAUAGGUGCUACCCGCUACUUCCCCUUCCCCGGGAGAUGUCCUUUGCUUCUCAGAUGUAAUGCACUUUAAGUUUGUUAUUCAACAGUGAAAAUGAGUCAUACAGAGGUUAAAUUAAAAAUACCUUUUGGAAAUAAAUUACUAGAUGCUGUUUGUUUGGUACCUAGCAAGAGCUUAACAUAUGGAGUAAUUCUUACACAUGGAGCAUCAGGAGAUAUGAAUCUUCCUCAUUUGAUGUCACUGUCAUCCCAUCUUGCAUCUCAUGGUUUUUUUUGCCUGAGGUUUACCUGUAAAGGCCUUAAUAUUGUACAUAGAGUUAAAGCAUAUAAAUCAGUCUUGAGUUACCUCAAGACCUCACGAGAAUACAAACUUGUAGGUGUUUUUCUUGGAGGUCGUUCAAUGGGCUCAAGAGCAGCUGCUGCUGUAAUGUGUCAUAUUGAACCAGAUGAUGCUGAUGAUUUUGUCCGUGGUCUCAUUUGUAUUUCUUAUCCACUGCACCAUCCAAAGCAGCAGAAUAAACUUAGAGAUGAAAAUCUCUUUCGUAUAAAAGAACCUGUAUUAUUUGUGUCAGGCUCAGCAGAUGAAAUGUGUGAAAAGAACUUGCUGGAGAAAGUUGCACAGAAAAUGCAAGCUCCUAAUAAAAUCUACUGGAUUGAGAAGGCAAAUCAUUCUAUGGCAGUGAAAGGACGGUCAACAAAUGACGUUUUCAAAGAAAUAAAUACACAAAUUUUGUUUUGGAUCCAAGAAGUCACUGAAAUGGACAAGAAAUAAUUGUCUUUAGUUCAAAGCCAUAUUACUUUGAAUACAAAUACAGUUAAUUUGAUAGAGAACGGCAUAACUCUCAGCAUUAUGAGGAGUUAUUUUUGAAAUCGUGCUCAUAAAGAUUUAUACAUGGUUUCAGAAAAAGCUUGCACUUCCAGAAAAGGGUAUUUCAGAUGCCCAGGAGAGAAUGAAGACAGUCAUCUGAAAACAUGAAAUUUGGUUAUUGGUUAAUUCAUCUUCAGAAGAAAGGGCUGAUGACAUCCGCUGCAAGUUAAGUUACAGAGAAAUGCAGGACAUGAUCAUAGAACUGAACCAUUUUGGUAAUAAUAAAAGCCUUAGCGUGAUAGAUUUGAAAAAGAGUCCAGGUCACCUCCCUUCAUUUCAGGGAGUUGAAAAGAAGACCUACUAGUCAUAAGACCACAGCAUAUCCACAUAAAGAUCUAGAGUUAAAAGAAACAACAAAAAAGGGAAAAAAGUGACAGUAGAAAAGAAUGUACCAAUGUUUGAGAAAAAGGAAAAGAAAAAGAAGCUCUAAUAUUGACUCAAGCUAAAUCAUCAUUCAUUUGGCUCAGUGGUUAAAUAUAGUUCCUCAUAAAUGAAUAUUUCCUAUUUGCUGAGGCUUUAUAUUUUAUGCCUUAUAUUCUACUUUAAGGGUUUUCAAAAUGAGUAGUCUUCCUCUUUCUUAA